rnacentral:rRNA from 1 species
CAUGAACGCUAGCGGCAGGCUUAAUACAUGCAAGUCGUGGGGCAGCAGGGUUGUAGCAAUACAAUCGCUGGCGACCGGCAAACGGGUGCGUAACACGUACGCAACCUUCCCGUUACUGUGGCAUAGCCCAGGGAAACUUGGAUUAAUACCACAUAUUAUAUUGAGGGGGCAUCCCUUUGAUAUCAAAGCUUCGGCGGUAACGGAUGGGCGUGCGGUUGAUUAGGUAGUUGGCGGGGUAACGGCCCACCAAGCCUACGAUCAAUAGCUGAUGUGAGAGCAUGAUCAGCCACACGGGGACGGAGACACGGGCCCGACUCCUACGGGAGGCAGCAGUAAGGAAUAUUGGGCAAUGGACGAAAGUCUGACCCAGCCAUGCCGCGUGAAGGAUUAAGGUCCUCUGGAUUGUAAACUUCUUUUCUCUGGGGCGAAGACCAGCUAUUCUUAGCUAUUUGACAGUACCAGAGGAAUAAGCACCGGCUAACUCCGUGCCAGCCGCCGCAGUAACAC